CCUCAGACGCCCCACAUUCCAGCGUUGCCGUGGCUGCCUGCCUGCAUCCGUGGUCACGGCGAUUCCAUGGGUUCCUACAAUCCUUCAGCAGCUUGCUGAUUUGGGGUGGGCAACCGACUCUCAGAGACAGGGGGCGGGGGGGAGACAGUGGAAGAGAGGGACAUAAGAGAGGGAUGAGAGAGAGCGAGGGAGACAGGAGAGGGAGACAGAUAGAGGGAGAUUCAAGCAGAAGAGAGGACACAAGAAAAGGUAAAUGAUAAAGUAAGGUGACGGAGCAAAAAACACUAAAUAUAUUCAACAGCGGCACAUUGUACUAUAGAUUCAUAGAUUUUUUUGCAUCUCCUUCUAAUACUAAUUUGUCAUAUUUGUAUACAUCAAUAAAUACUUACACCAGAAAUAAAAUGUCUCAUAGAAAAAAUAAACACAGUAUAAAAAAAGUAAAGCUCUGAGAACAUUUUAAGUGGAAAAAUGAAUCUUUGUUAGAGUAUUUUAAUCUGUGGACAGCAGAAAAAAAAUAGCAUGUUCACAGUCAGAAUGUGGAAGGUGAGCGAGGUAGAAGGUCUCUCCGAGAACAGAGGAACGAGGGAAUGGAAGGUGAGCGAGGUAGGUCUCUCCUAGAACAGAGGAAUGAGUCCCUGCUGAGGACCCUUGCAUGUCUGUGUGCAAUGUCUCUGUCUGUGUUAGCGUAGUUGUGACUCUCAAUGUCUGCGCAACAAAAUGUCUCUGUGAAGUUGAAAGUGCUCCACUGUUCAGUGUGUGUGUGUGUGUGGUGUGUGUUUCUGUCCUCGUGUCUGUGUAUCACAGGAGGAGCACACACCUCUAAAUGCGUCCCUGGCAUUGUAACAUUUAAUGUGUCAUUUAAAUCCGUGAGGGAUUAUAGCUCUGCUGUCAAAAGGAGCAAAAAAGCUCCUUGAAUCCAUUUGUUUUUUAAAGGACCAUCUCAGCCGGAUGGAUAGUCGGUGGGCAGCGGUGGUGAUUUGGAGCCUGGGUCAUGCUAAGAGUCCAGAGGAAAGCGUGGCACGGAACAAGUCUGUCCUAGAUUAAGAGCCUGCUCUAAUCCUCCAUUUCUGCGCACACAUUGGGUUUCCCUCAAUCUCAGCCUGACCGUCCUAAUGGGAGAACUAAAGCUGGAGGCCACAUAAUCACAACGUUAAAAGCCGCGAGAGAGGCAGAGAAAGAGAUACAGAGAGAGACAGGGAAAUAGUAAAUAAAAGAGUGUGUGUGAGAGAUGAACAGCUUGAUUGGGUUCAGUCCAGGUUGCAAAAGUCAUGUAACGUCCCCAGUGGAAAACAUUCCCGCAGUGUGAGGUGCAGUCAGGGUCCUGUUUGUCUGGACAACACCACCCCGGGGGCCUGGGAGUUUGUGGGCUCCUUGUCCAGGUACAGGCUGAAGUGCUGGAUGCUGCAGGAGCCUCUCGCUGGCCAGGGACAGGUUCUUAUCCCAGUUGGGUGGGUAGCCUGUGUGCCUCUCCACGAUUUCCUUACAUAGCUGUCAAUCACAAAGAACACAACUUGUAUACAAUGACCAUAACAAGCACCACUGUACAAAUCUUGACCAUAUACUGUAUGUGAUUAUGGUUAAUGCUCAUACACCCAUUUGUUUGCUAUGGGAGGACUGACUCUCUGUGUAGGAUAGCUCAAACAGGCGAGCUUUCUCCUCUCCCUGGAUCCUCUCAGCCAGGUCAAACAGGCGAGCUUUCUCCUCUCCCUGGAUCCUCUCAGCCAGGUCAAACAGGCGAGCUUUCUCCUCUCCCUGGAUCCUCUCAGCCAGGUCAAACAGACCAGCUUUCUCCUCUUCCUGGAUCCUCUCAGCCAGGUCAAACAGGCCAGCUUUCUCCUCUCCCUGGAUCCUCUCAGCCAGGUCAAACAGACCAGCUUUCUCCUCUCCCUGGAUCCUCUCAGCCAGGUCAAACAGAAAGAAAGCCGUCUUCAUCCUGAAACAAAGAGACCAUAUCACAGGCUCAGAGCUAAGUUCUGGAUGGAUGAACUGUGGAGAUUUAUCCACAGAGAUGCACUAGGAGAAUAUAGUGAUUUAUGUAGAUGCUAGCUACACAACAGCAUUUCAUGUAGAAUAGCUGGUGCUCUACCACACCAGAGUGGGUUACGUAGAUGUUUUAGCUGGCAGACUAGGCUGAUCUGUCAGAGAGGCUCUCUGUAAACUAUACAUAUAUACAGUGACUGCAAGAGAAAAGAGAGUCAGUGUCUUCAGCGUUUACUCUUUACUUUACCUGGCCGGCCACAUCUCCUAGACCCCCUUACCCAGGACCCUAGGUGGUAAAUGGAACAAGACACAGCUCUAUAUCUCAACACCUCCGGGGCUUUUCUCAUGCAUCAUUCCUUCCACACAAUCAUAUUCAUUCAUGUAUCACUAUGGGAUGUUAAUACACAUUGUUCAAAGUGU
ensembl:lncRNA